rnacentral:rRNA from 1 species
ACUCAAAUGAAUUGACGGGGGCCCGCACAAGCAGUGGAGCAUGUGGUUUAAUUCGAUGCAACGCGAAGAACCUUACCCAGGUUAGAAGUACAGAGGAAUGUUGCAGAGAUGUAACAGCCCGCAAGGGCCUUUGUAUAGGUGCUGCAUGGCUGUCGUCAGCUCGUGCCGUGAGGUGUUGGGUUAAGUCCCGCAACGAGCGCAACCCUUAUCAUUAGUUGCCAACGCGUAAUGGCGGGGACUCUAGUGAGACUGCCUAGGUUAACUAGGAGGAAGGUGAGGAUGACGUCAAGUCCGCAUGGCCUUUAUGUCUGGGGCUACACACGUGCUACAAUGGUCGGUACAGAAGGCAGCGAAACAGUGAUGUGGAGCAAAUCCCCAAAGCCGAUCUCAGUUCAGAUUGUAGUCUGCAACUCGACUACAUGAAGCUGGAAUUGCUAGUAAUGACGUGUCAGCAACAACGUCGUGAAUACGUUCCCGGGCCUUGUACACACCGCCCGU